rnacentral:rRNA from 1 species
ACGAACGCUGGCGGCGUGGAUAAGACAUGCAAGUCGAGCGGGACAUAACGGGUAGCAAUAUUCGUGAUGUUUAGCGGCGCAAGGGUGCGUAACACGUGGGCAAUUUGCCAUAAAGCUGGGGAUAACUCCGGGAAACCGGAGCUAAUACCGAAUGUGAUCAUCGGGAGGCAUCUUUUGAUGAUUAAAGCUGGGGACCGAAAGGCCUGGCACUUUAUGAUGAGCCCGCGGCCUAUCAGCUAGUUGGCGGGGUAACGGCCCACCAAGGCAAAGACGGGUAGCUGGUCUGAGAGGACGACCAGCCACACUGGAACUGAGACACGGUCCAGACACCUACGGGUGGCAGCAGUCGAGAAUUUUUCACAAUGGGCGCAAGCCUGAUGGAGCGACGCCGCGUGGGGGAUGAAGGGCUUCGGCUCGUAAACCCCUGUCAGUUGCGAACAAAGUGUACCGGUGAACAGCCGGUGCGCUGAUAGUAGUGACAGAGGAAGGGACGGCUAACUCUGUGCCAGCAGCCGCGGUAAUACAGAGGUCCCGAGCGUUGUUCGGAUUCACUGGGCGUAAAGGGUGCGUAGGUGGCUUUGAAAGUCUGAUGUGAAAUCUCCGGGCCCAACCCGGAAAUGGCAUUAGAAACUACAGGGCUAGAGGCUUGGAGGGGGAACUGGAAUGCUCGGUGUAGCAGUGAAAUGCGUAGAGAUCGAGCGGAACACCAGUGGCGAAGGCGAGUUCCUGGACAAGACCUGACACUGAGGCACGAAGCCAGGGGAGCAAACAGGAUUAGAUACCCUGGUAGUCCUGGCUGUAAACGGUGCACGUUUGCUGUGAGAGGAAUCGACCCCUUUCGUGGCGGAGCUAACGCGAUAAACGUGCCGCCUGGGGAGUACGGUCGCAAGAUUAAAACUCAAAGAAAUUGACGGGGGCCUGCACAAGCGGUGGAGUAUGUGGCUCAAUUCGAUGCAACGCGAAGAACCUUACCUGGCCUUGACAUGCAAGUGGUAGUAGCAUGAAAGUGUAACGACCCCGCAAGGGGAGCUUGCACAGGUGCUGCAUGGCUGUCGUCAGCUCGUGUCGUGAGAUGUUGGGUUAAGUCCCGCAACGAGCGCAACCCUUGCGUCCUGUUGCUAUCCUUUCGAGAGAAGGGAGCACUCUGGACGGACUGCCUCGCUUCAACGGGGAGGAAGGUGGGGAUGACGUCAAGUCAGUAUGGCCCUUACGGCCAGGGCUGCACACGUACUACAAUGCCCGGCACAGAGGGAAGCCAAACCGGAAGGUGGAGCAAAUCCCGCGAAAACCGGGCCCAGUUCAGAUUGAGGUCUGCAACUCGACCUCAUGAAGUUGGAAUCGCUAGUAAUGGCGCAUCAGCUACGGCGCCGUGAAUACGUUCCCAGGCCUUGUACACACCGCCCGUCACAUCAUGAAAGCCGGUUGUACCCGAAGUCCAUGUAGAAACCGCAAGGAUCUAGUGGCCGAAGGUAUGGCUGGUGAUUGGGAUG